AGUGAACGCUGGCGGCGGGCCUAAUACAUGCAAGUCGAACGGGAGGAGAGGAAGAGUUUGUCCUUACGGGUGGCGUGUGGCGGGGGGGUGUGGAAUGUAGGGGAAUCAACUUUCUCGUGGGGGAUAACGUCGGGAAAGUUACGUUAAUACCGCAAAUGACCUACGGGUGAAAGCAGGGAAUGUAAGGACGUUGUGCGCUUGCAUGAGACGAUGUCGGAUUAGCUAGUUGGCGGGGUAAAGGCCCACCAAGGCGACGAUGCGUAGCUGAUCUGAGAGGCUGAUCGGCCACACUGGAACUGAGACACGGUCCAGACUCCUACGGGAGGCAGCAGUAGGGAAUCUUCCACAAUGGGCGCAAGCCUGAUCCAGCCAUGCCGCGUGUGUGAAGAAGGCCUUCGGAUUGUAAAGCCCUUUUAUUAGGAAAGAAAAGCCGCAAGUUAAUCCCCCGCUGUUCUGACGGUACCCAAAGAAUAAGCACCGGCUAACUUCGUG
rnacentral:rRNA from 1 species